rnacentral:tRNA from 2 species
UCCUCCUUAGCUCAGUCGGUAGAGCACUCGGCUGUUAACCGAGUUGUCGUUGGUUCGAGCCCAACAGGGGGAGCCA